rnacentral:tRNA from 1 species
GUAGUUAUAGCUCAGUGGUAGAGUGCCUGCUUAGCAUGCACAAGGUCCUGGGUUCAACUCCCAGUACCCCCA